rnacentral:rRNA from 1 species
GGGGGAAUAUUGCACAAUGGGGGAAACCCUGAUGCAGCCAUGCCGCGCGUGUGAAGAAGGCCUUCGGGUUGUAAAGCACUUUCAGUUGUGAGGAAAAGUUAGUAGUUAAUACCUGCUAGCCGUGACGUUAACAACAGAAGAAGCACCGGCUAACUCCGUGCCAGCAGCCGCGGUAAUACGGAGGGUGCGAGCGUUAAUCGGAAUUACUGGGCGUAAAGCGCACGCAGGCGGUUUGUUAAGCUAGAUGUGAAAGCCCCGGGCUCAACCUGGGACGGUCAUUUAGAACUGGCAGACUAGAGUCUUGGAGAGGGGAGUGGAAUUCCAGGUGUAGCGGUGAAAUGCGUAGAUAUCUGGAGGAACAUCAGUGGCGAAGGCGACUCCCUGGCCAAAGACUGACGCUCAUGUGCGAAAGUGUGGGUAGCGAACAGGAUUAGAUACCCUGGUAGUCCACACCGUAAACGCUGUCUACUAGCUGUUUGUGGCUUUAAGCCGUGAGUAGCGAAGCUAACGCGAUAAGUAGACCGCCUGGGGAGUACGGCCGCAAGGUUA